CUUCACAGAGGAAAUUUUAAAUAGCAAUGUUUCUCCUUCUAUGCAUGCCACUGCUUUUUCUCAAAGCAGAUUUCAGUGAUGGUGUUCUGAUCACUCAAUGGCCGAAGUACAUAUCCAGUCAUCCAGGCUCUUCUGUUGAAAUGCACUGUUACCAGAAUCAUACAGACUAUGACUACAAAUACUGGUACAGACAAAUGAAAGGUGAAGGACCAGAACUUAUUGUUAGCAUCAUCGGGACUUCGAGAACAUUUGAGAAGGGUUUUGAGAACGGCUUUGAAGUAUUAAGUAUGGAGAAAAAGAAAUGGACACUGAAAGUGGAUGUUAAGAAGGGGAUUGAUGCUGUGUAUCUGUGUGCUGCUAGUUUACGUGACACUGGUGCUUAUCAGGCUUAUUUCGGCAAUGGAACAAAGUUAACUGUACUAGACACUAAAAUUACAAUCACACCACCAAAGGUAAACAUUCUAAAACCCUCUGAAAAAGAGACGAGAUGCAGAAAGGAUAAGGUCACCCUUGUGUGUGUGGCCAGUGACUUCUACCCAGACCAUGUGAACAUAACAUGGAAAUUUCAAGGCAAAGACAUAGAAGAAGGUGUAGCGACAGACCCUUAUGCCACCAAAAACGAAACAUCGAACAUGUACACCAUGACCAGCAGACUUAAAGUCUCCAGAAAAGACUGGGGAAAAGAGGCUAACAAAUUCGUCUGUAGUGUGAAAUUCUACAAUGCAACAGAUGUUCAUGUGGAGAUAAAUGCUACUGUUUCUGGAAUUGCAGGGGGUGGAUAUGAACCAGAGGACUAUAUAAACUCAUCACAAACGAUGAAGCUGGCAUACGGUGUGUUCAUUGCUAAGAGUGCACUGUAUGGCCUUGUCAUCUUAGUGUUCGUAUGCAGAAAGGGUGGAAAGUGAAUGAACUGAACAUUCCUGAAUUGAUGAAGUUACAAUCCUAACCCAACUCAACCCAUGUAUUCCAUCCAGAAGAGAUGCUGUUUAUAUAAAUGAAGAGUUUUACAUUUUUUUUAGAUUGAUUUUAUUUUAUUUUAUUUUAUUUUAUUUCUUUCUUUCUGUCUGUUCUUUUCUGAGUGUUUGCCACACUGAAAAGUCUGCAGUUCAGAACAGAUUGACCAUAAAAUCUAGUAUCUAGUAUAUAUUUUUUUCUUUUGCUUAUUUUGUUGCUACUGUAUAUAGAUCCAAUUCGAUAACAUACUGCUGUACUAGCAGAACAGACCUAACAGAGCUGUAUGUUAUUCAUUGCUUUUCAUAUUACCAUUUACUGUAUUUUUUUUUUAAAUAUACAUAAAGAAUUACACAUGAGUUUUAUGCACAAAGAAAAUAUCACUUAUUUUAUAGCACAUUGUUCACCAAUUUAAGACUAAUGGCUGUUUUGAGUUUUUAUUUUAGCUAUAGAUCAUUUGUUAGAGUAUAUGGCACUAGCUGUUAAAGGUUUGAUUUUGAGGGAACACAAAUAAAUUGUAUACCUUGAACUGCUUUAAAUAAAAGCAUCAGCAAAAUGCAUAAAUGUGAAAGUCAAUUUGUAGCCAAUAACUUUCAUAGGACUGACAAUAAUCUCCCAACUGCUUAAAUAAAGUAACAACAUGGUAACAAGAAUGAAACUGGUUGACUAUAUCCUGUAGCCUAUGUGGUCUUUAUAUUCCCUGAGAGAAAGACCCUCUAGUGAAUACACUAUAACCGGUCACUAAAAUAUUGUUUUUAGGAAUAAAUAACGUUUUACUUGUUAAGGUAAACUGUUCUAUCAUCGGAAUAAAAAUGAAAGCAAUAGAAAUCUUAUCACACAUCUAGAAUAUUAUUCAUUAGCAUUUAAGGCUCCCACUACCUUAAAAAUUAUAGUAAAUAAUUAUUAUUAUUUUUUUUUUAACAAGCUACUGAAUGCUGCACACCUGCUCCUGAACAACAUUUGUUGUUGUUUUUUUCUCCCAAAAAAGUACCUUCUCUGGAAAAUUUUGUUUUCAAUAUCUUUUAAACAAUACAUUUACAAUAAAAAAUAAAAUGUAUUUGACUGUUUUUUAAUUGUCAAACAUAAGUACAUUAAUGAUUAACUACACCUAUUGGAUGUCUAAUUGUUUAAAAGUAAUUGCAGAAAUGAUAAGAGCAGUGAGACUAGAUCUUAGAAAAACUCUAUAAUUCUCUGCAGAUGGUAUUUGGUUUAAUAUUUUAUUAUUCUUUUUUAAAUUGUUCUUGGGGCCACUGUAUAUAUUUACCAUUGUUAAAAUAAUAAUGUACAUUUAAAUGCAUUAAAAAAAAAACUACAUUUCAGUCUACAUACCUGCUGCUCAAAAGAGGCCUCUCUGGGUAACAGCUGGGAGGCCACUAUGGCUUUCAUGGUCUCAAACUGAAAAGGGGCCCCCAAAAACAGAGUACCAUUGCCCAUUAUUAGCUGUUAGUUGUUGAGGUUUAGGUAAUGAGAUAUAUCAUCGUGUACUAGCUACGCAAAACUAGAAUUUGGAGAA